UACGGAGGGGGCUAGCGUUGUUCGGAAUUACUGGGCGUAAAGCGCACGUAGGCGGCUUUGUAAGUUAGAGGUGAAAGCCCAGGGCUUAACCCUGGAAUUGCCUUUAAGACUGCAUCGCUAGAAUCGUGGAGAGGUGAGUGGAAUUCCGAGUGUAGAGGUGAAAUUCGUAGAUAUUCGGAAGAACACCAGUGGCGAAGGCGACUUACUGGACACAUAUUGACGCUGAGGUGCGAAAGCGGUGGGGAGCAAACAGG
rnacentral:rRNA from 1 species